rnacentral:rRNA from 1 species
CUUGCUUCUCUUGAGAGCGGCGGACGGGUGAGUAAUGCCUAGGAAUCUGCCUGGUAGUGGGGGAUAACGUCCGGAAACGGACGCUAAUACCGCAUACGUCCUACGGGAGAAAGCAGGGGACCUUCGGGCCUUGCGCUAUCAGAUGAGCCUAGGUCGGAUUAGCUAGUUGGUGGGGUAAUGGCUCACCAAGGCGACGAUCCGUAACUGGUCUGAGAGGAUGAUCAGUCACACUGGAACUGAGACACGGUCCAGACUCCUACGGGAGGCAGCAGUGGGGAAUAUUGGACAAUGGGCGAAAGCCUGAUCCAGCCAUGCCGCGUGUGUGAAGAAGGUCUUCGGAUUGUAAAGCACUUUAAGUUGGGAGGAAGGGCAGUAAAUUAAUACUUUGCUGUUUUGACGUUACCGACAGAAUAAGCACCGGCUAACUCUGUGCCAGCAGCCGCGGUAAUACAGAGGGUGCAAGCGUUAAUCGGAAUUACUGGGCGUAAAGCGCGCGUAGGUGGUUCGUUAAGUUGGAUGUGAAAUCCCCGGGCUCAACCUGGGAACUGCAUUCAAAACUGACGAGCUAGAGUAUGGUAGAGGGUGGUGGAAUUUCCUGUGUAGCGGUGAAAUGCGUAGAUAUAGGAAGGAACACCAGUGACGAAGGCGACCACCUGGACUGAUACUGACACUGAGGUGCGAAAGCGUGGGGAGCAAACA